AAGUCUGCUAGGCGCGGGGAUUCCCCGAGGGAAGUUCCCAGCGCAUUAUAAAACAUGUAAAAUAUUACAUUUGUACGAAAUACACCAUAUCCUCUCCCGCACGCCGUAAAUAUAGGCCAUUUGAAGAAUAAGAAGUUGUCGCAGUAUCAAAACAAUAGUUCAUUUUCGAAUGAAGGGCCUAUGAGUACUGUGUCAGUGAUGAUUGUGGAGCACACGGCAUGGAGAGGAAUAUUGGAGACCAGCUCAACAAGGCCUUUGAAGCUUACCGCCAGGCCUCUAUCGAGAGAGACAAUGCCAAAAGGGAACUACAGCAGACGAGUGAAUUUUAUAAACAGCACACUCAGAAUCUUCAGAAACAGAUAGAAGACCAGCAAAGUUUGAUUUUGACACUCAAAGCUCAGUUGAUAUCAACAACUAAGCAACCCUCAGGAGAGGUCACAGAUGAGGCUGCUCCUAGAAAACAGGAAGAGGAAACAUUGUUUUCUUCCAACCAUCUCCUUGACAACACAGGCAACUUCUUCAGGAAGAUUCGUUACUUGAAGGAGAAUAUGGAAACUAUAGAGCUUGUUUCACCUUCACCACUCACAGCACCUGUAGCCAGCAAUGUUGAGAAUAAAGACGUUAUUGAGGCAUUUCAAGCUCUUCAGGGGAAAUUCCAGCAGAUACGGACAUUAACGCUGAGACAAAAAAAUCACCUGAAAAAAUUCUGCAGAGGAAAUGACUUGGCAAAUGAGCAGCAGUUCUCCAUGCCCAUACAAUGUACAGACGUGACGGCGGAGCUGGCGGAGAGGCCCUUCCCUUCCGUGUCGGCUUUGAGGCCAGGAGUUGACUUGCAUCACCCACCCACGCCCCUGGCCCCCCGUGGGGCCGGCCCAGAGGACAGGGACCUGGUGGAAUCUCUCACCAGUCUCCGUGUCAAGUUCCCCCCCCCCACAGACAGUGAAUAUGAGUUCCUGAACAGCGCUUCUGAGAAACAGAUUGACCUGGCCAUGCCAAGACAGCGGCCAGCAGUCAGCGGUGGGCCCGCUGUCGUGGAGGAAAUGUCUAUGGAGCUGUCCGACCAGUUCCUGUAUCCCACGUCUCCCCCUCACCCCACCUCCCCCUCCGCCUCGCUCGAAAGUGUGCGUGGACCCCAGCAGGCCCUGUGGAGCCCUGAGCUUUGCGACGCUACAGCAAUGAAGGCUGCGAGUGUGGAGCCGCAACAAGCGAUCAACAACAACAGCCCUGAUAUCUGUGCCUACUGCAACGCGGUAGUUCCCCAAGACCACAUGAAGAGCCACCUUUUUACUCAUUGCCAGAGGGAAAGUGAAGCCAGCAAUUGACACUAGCAGACACUGGCUGGCCAAUGCAACACCUCUAGGAUUGAUUCAUGGUUAAUUCAUGUCUUUGUUGCCCUGCCAUGAAUUGCAUGCUGUGCUGGAUGUCACAUCACGCUGCCGUUUGAACGGGACUAGAACCCCCACUCCAUCAUUUAUUUAAUUUGAGAACAUCCACUAAGGUCUUUGAGGAGAGCAUCUGCUUUGAUUCUACACGUGGAUCUGGAAAUGUGUAUGUUUGGAGGGAUGAAUUGAGGACCAUAAAAAAAUGAAAGAGGAGGAGGAAGAUGGAUAUGGAUUGAGAGUUAGAAGCAGCAGGAUGAUUACGAGGUGUCAAAAUUGCCAGGAGCAAAAAGCCGACUGUCUCAGCCUUGUGUGACGAAACGUCCAGUACUCCACUGAAGAACAUAGGCAUGCACUUUACUUGCAGCAAUAAAGAAGUCAUAAUCUGAA